UUGAUUGAUGGUGCUUGCACCUGAUUGAUUUUGGUCGCCAACGAGUGGCGGACGGGUGAGUAACACGUAGGUAACCUGCCCAGAAGCGGGGGACAACAUUUGGAAACAGAUGCUAAUACCGCAUAACAGCGUUGUUCGCAUGAACAACGCUUAAAAGAUGGCUUCUCGCUAUCACUUCUGGAUGGACCUGCGGUGCAUUAGCUUGUUGGUGGGGUAACGGCCUACCAAGGCGAUGAUGCAUAGCCGAGUUGAGAGACUGAUCGGCCACAAUGGGACUGAGACACGGCCCAUACUCCUACGGGAGGCAGCAGUAGGGAAUCUUCCACAAUGGGCGCAAGCCUGAUGGAGCAACACCGCGUGAGUGAAGAAGGGUUUCGGCUCGUAAAGCUCUGUUGUUAAAGAAGAACACGUAUGAGAGUAACUGUUCAUACGUUGACGGUAUUUAACCAGAAAGUCACGGCUAACUACGUGCCAGCAGCCGCGGUAAUACGUAGGUGGCAAGCGUUAUCCGGAUUUAUUGGGCGUAAAGAGAGUGCAGGCGGUUUUCUAAGUCUGAUGUGAAAGCCUUCGGCUUAACCGGAGAAGUGCAUCGGAAACUGGAUAACUUGAGUGCAGAAGAGGGUAGUGGAACUCCAUGUGUAGCGGUGGAAUGCGUAGAUAUAUGGAAGAACACCAGUGGCGAAGGCGGCUACCUGGUCUGCAACUGACGCUGAGACUCGAAAGCAUGGGUAGCGAACAGGAUUAGAUACCCUGGUAGUCCAUGCCGUAAACGAUGAGUGCUAGGUGUUGGAGGGUUUCCGCCCUUCAGUGCCGGAGCUAACGCAUUAAGCACUCCGCCUGGGGAGUACGACCGCAAGGUUGAAACUCAAAGGAAUUGACGGGGGGCCCGCACAAGCGGUGGAGCAUGUGGUUUAAUUCGAAGCUACGCGAAGAACCUUACCAGGUCUUGACAUCUUGCGCCAACCCUAGAGAUAGGGCGUUUCCUUCGGGAACGCAAUGACAGGUGGUGCAUGGUCGUCGUCAGCUCGUGUCGUGAGAUGUUGGGUUAAGUCCCGCAACGAGCGCAACCCUUGUUACUAGUUGCCAGCAUUAAGUUGGGCACUCUAGUGAGACUGCCGGUGACAAACCGGAGGAAGGUGGGGACGACGUCAGAUCAUCAUGCCCCUUAUGACCUGGGCUACACACGUGCUACAAUGGACGGUACAACGAGUCGCGAACUCGCGAGGGCAAGCAAAUCUCUUAAAACCGUUCUCAGUUCGGACUGCAGGCUGCAACUCGCCUGCACGAAGUCGGAAUCGCUAGUAAUCGCGGAUCAGCAUGCCGCGGUGAAUACGUUCCCGGGCCUUGUACACACCGCCCGUCACACCAUGAGAGUUUGUAACACCCAAAGUCGGUGG
rnacentral:rRNA from 2 species